AGGCUUUGAUCCUGGCUCAGGACGAACGCUGGCGGCGUGCCUAACACAUGCAAGUCGAGCGGGGAUAUUAGAAAGCUUGCUUUUUAAUAACCUAGCGGCGGACGGGUGAGUAACGCGUGGGCAACCUGCCUCACACAGGGGGAUAACACAGGGAAACUUGUGCUAAUACCGCAUGAAACAUAAAUAUGGCAUCAUAUAAAUGUCAAAGGAGAAAUCCGGUGUGAGAUGGGCCCGCGUCCGAUUAGCUAGUUGGUAAGGUAAAGGCUUACCAAGGCGACGAUCGGUAGCCGAACUGAGAGGUUGAUCGGCCACAUUGGGACUGAGAUACGGCCCAGACUCCUACGGGAGGCAGCAGUGGGGAAUAUUGCGCAAUGGGGGAAACCCUGACGCAGCAACGCCGCGUGAAGGAAGAAGGCUUUCGGGUUGUAAACUUCUUUGAUUAGGGACGAAAAAAAUGACGGUACCU
rnacentral:rRNA from 1 species